AAAAAGAAAAUGACAGACAAACUAAAGAUGCCAAAAAUGGCUAUAACGCUAGAAUCAGUAGAAUAUAACAAAAUUCAGCUUUGUUCUUAUAUUUUGUUGAAGGCAACAAUGUCGCAGCUCUGAACGUAUUCGUUGCAAGGCUCAGCUGUCAGAUGCUCCUCUAUGAGGUCAUCCACAGAUACAAGGUCAUCCACAAUGGUGAGCAUGAUCUGCAAUUUCUUGAUGCCAUAACCAACUGGAACCAGUUUUGCUGCCACAUACCAAAAUCAAACAAUUCAUUUAAUACUAGACACCGUUGCAGAAAACUGAAUUUUACAAGUAAAAGGUGUCGUAACAAAUAAUAUCAGCUCAAAC
rnacentral:lncRNA from 1 species